rnacentral:lncRNA from 1 species
UUUGACAUACAUCUCACUGUCAUCAGUGUCAGUGAGAGAGCUGCGAGCGGCAACAAUGGGAUUCGAAGUAAUGAAAGGGAAUCAAGGUGCCAAGUCAGUGGUGAAAAGGAAGCAAUCUCCCCAACAACAAACUCCUUCAAUUUCAUUCUGCUGCCCACGAAGCAGCAGCAACAAAAGGCAGUGGAAGAACCAAGUGAAGACCGAACGGGAAGUACGGAACAGUACAAGAACC